rnacentral:rRNA from 1 species
AUGGCUCAGGAUGAACGCUGGCGGCGUGCCUAAUACAUGCAAGUCGAACGAGCGAGAUCCAGCUUGCUGGAUUAGCGAGUGGCGAACGGGUGAGUAAUACGUAAGCAACCUGCCUACACGGACUGGGAUAACACCUGGAAACGGGCGCUAAUACCGGAUAGGUAACGAGAGGGCAUCCUCUUGUUAUUAAAGGUUUGAAACACAAGUAGAUGGGCUUACGGUGCAUUAGCUAGUUGGUGAGGUAACGGCCCACCAAGGCGAUGAUGCAUAGCCGGCCUGAGAGGGUGAACGGCCACAUUGGGACUGAGACACGGCCCAGACUCCUACGGGAGGCAGCAGUAGGGAAUUUUCGGCAAUGGGCGCAAGCCUGACCGAGCAACGCCGCGUGAGUGAAUGAAGGUUUUCGGAUCGUAAAGCUCUGUUGUAAGGGAAGAAUGGCGCGGAUAGACUCCGCGAUUGACGGUACCUUACCAGAAAGCCACGGCUAACUACGUGCCAGCAGCAGC